UCUUGCCAUCAGCCCCUACUGCCAUUGUGUCACUGUCAUCUACUUGCCUCUCCAGAAGCCCUUUUUUGGCUACCUCAGGAGGGUGAUCUGUGUGGGCUGCACCAGUGGCCUCUCUGCACUCUGGCUGAAGACGUAAGAGUGGAGGAGAGUGAGUGAGGGAAGGGGGCUUGGUGCUCUCAUUCCUUCCCCACAGGGUUGAUUCGGGCGCCACCAAAGAU
rnacentral:lncRNA from 1 species